rnacentral:lncRNA from 1 species
CACCAAACCCUAGCCAUUUCACAACAAUAGCUGCAUAACUUCUCCUCUCUCUACCUUCUCUCUACGCUUUCCCUCUUCUCUAUUCCUUUUUUCCGCCGUCUAAGCACCGUUGAACGAAUAGCAACAUCGGCCGACCACCGCCGCCAGAAGACAACAGCCCCAACGCCGGCAGCCAUGCCAUCACACCAACCAUGCCAUCACACCGACGAUGCCACCAGCGGAUCCAACCCCCAAAACCAACCAUCUACUGCCGUCAUCGCUAUCAACGCCGACGAAACCAUCUGAGAUGCCGGCCAGCCGCCACCUAGCCACCGUCAAACCCGAACCAGACGCUGGAUUCUCCUCUUCAUCACAUGCAGCAGCCGCUGCUUCCUCCUCUCUGUCGCCGCCGCCACUGUCCAUUUUGUGAGGGGCUUUCAAAAACUCAUCCUCAUGUUUGACCAAAUGUUUAAAUGUUUGUGUUUGAUUUUAAUUAUAAUCUACCCCUUUUUCGUUAGACAGUUUUUUGAUAUUAAAUCGGUAAAAUUUGACUUUGACUUACUAAUUGAUUCUUUCCAAUUCGUGUUUGUUCAUGUCUCUAGAUUGAUAUAUGUGAAAAGCCCUAAAUUUUAUGGACUUUGAUUAAACCCCAAAUUUUCUACUAGUUGAUAUUUUAGUGAUUUUACAAUUCCGGACAAUUUUUAUUGAAUGUUGACAUUUUUUGAUAUGUAAUUGUUGAUAUUUGGCCAUUUUUGAUUUCUAGUAUUACGAUGAAAUGAGAUUGACUCAAGUGGUGGAAAUAUCUCAAUAUAUCCUUUGUUCACUGAUUUGCCUCCUUGAUUUUUAUUUUUCUAUUUAUGGUAAUUUUUUAUCUGUUUAUUUUAAUUGUGAUUGAUGGUAUUGAUUUAAAGAAAGUAUGUCAUUUAACUGAUUUUCUUGCCUUCCGUUUUAAUGGAAUAUUGAUCAUUUAUUAUAACAAAUUUUUCUUCUCUUAAUUGGAUUUGAUUAAGAUAAUCAAGGAAAAGAUUUUGUUGUGAUUUUUUAUGGAAUACCUUGAUCGGAAUUGAUUUUAGUUGCUUGAUUGAUAAUUGACCCCUUUCGUUAAGGAAAGAUUCUUCCUUAAUUGAUUUAUCAGAUAUUAUCUUCCUUUUAUUUUCUCUACUCUUUUGCAAUAUAACUUCCCCUCUUUCAAUCGUCAGAGAUCUCUCAUUAUCCUCUCAUACACUUCUACACUUCUACACUCUUCUACACUACACUUGAGUGUGUAAUUUUAUUUGCUGCUUUUACUUUGGGAUUGCUGGUCCUUGUUUGUUCGUACGGCUGUUAUCCACUUUUGAACAUCCAAUAUUCUUUUGUUAUUGUGCUGUUAAUCGGUUAGUUCUCUUGAACGAUGCAUGAAGUUUCUUUUAUGUUAUUCUAGAUGACUAUGACCUCACUUUGAUUUACUUACUUUAAAUGUUUGAUGACAUGAGCCUUCUAUUCAUUUUUGUGUAAUUAUUUCAUUACUUAUUGGGAUGGUCAUGUUAUUUGCUUUUGUUAAUAUGGCAAGUUUUGCCCUGCUGUUAAAUGUUUUCCCCAGUAGAAUGUUUGUUGUUUGUGAAUCUGAAAUAAUCUUUACGUGUCACAUAACCCCUUAGGAUCUUGACAGCGCCAAGGACUGGUGUUGUGUUGCCAAAGAUAUAUUUCGAAUUUGGGCUGUGUUUUUGUGUUUUGCUUGUGCUCACAGAUUAAAGCCGAACGGUUCAACAAGACAAGAGUUGCCAUGAAUUUUUGAGGGUCGCUGAGGGCUAUCCAAUCUAGCUCUUCUUAGUCUUUCAUUUAAUUCAUUCAUUGUUGGUCUGUAACUUAUUGUACAAAUACUGAUAUAAUAAUAUUUAUGAGACUGCUUGGGGUGGGGAUUUAUGUACUACGUGAAUCACCUAGGCAAAAGAAUAAUCUAGGACUAACGAUAAACUUGCGUGGUCACAUAGAAAGUAUUCUUUAAAAUUACUUUUCAGCAUAUAAAUGUUAAACUCCAGCAUGUUAAUUUACCUUUCAGCGUUAUAAAAAAUGCAUUUUCAGCAUGUUAAUGAACUUUUCAGUAUUAAGAGUGUUUGUAGUAAUUUUCCACGUUUGUAAUUUCUUACAGUCAUUAGCUUAUAACAUGUUUUACACAAAAUUAACAAGCAAAAUGCUUCAACGUAUUUACUUUAUUUCGACAUAUUUUAUCUUUAAAAACUUUACAACAUUAUUUUUAAUGGUUUGACAAUUACUUUUAAUCAAUAAACACGUACUUUUCACUUAGACAUUAUGCUUAACUAUCUUUUACACAAUAAAUUAAUAUUCUUUUUCUUUCACACUUGUUUAACUUUGACAUGUCUUCUCAUGAAUUUUUGCCACAUUGUCAUAAAUGUUUUGACAGUUACUUUUCAAUAAACAAUUGUUGAACACUUAGAUAUCAUGCCUAUAGAUUAAUGACACAAAAAUAAGUUAAUUAUUUGUCUUUGUAUGUUAAUCACAUUAAUCUCUUUAAUAACCAAGAGGUUAACUUGGGAUCAUUAUGUGCUAAGUGACGUCCAAUGUAUUCGCUUGUUAUGUGCUAAGUGACGUCCAAUGUAUUCGCUUGUGUCUUAGGGAAAAUAUAACUUUAUUUUUGUCUAGACCACAAAACCAUAAUACCUCUUGGAUGAUAGGUGGGAUGAGAGGUAUUACUAAAGAUGCUAGUUUUAUCCUUUAUUUUUAGAGCGUCUUUAGGAUAACAACCAGCCUAGAUGGGGUGGGACGAGUAGUCAUUUGGAAGUGAUGAUCUCUAGAGAUAUUACACGACAUUUGAAAUUGUCACUUGUUUAAGAAUUCAUCCAGUGGGUCAGAUAAGGAAUAAACAAGUUGGGGUUCGGAGUUGAAUGAGAUAAAAACGUUUCUUUAUCUGAUUUGACGAAUUCUUUCUUACUCUUUUAUUUACUUUACAUAUUUAUUUAUUUGGGGUAGUCAGUUUAUUACAUAAGUAGUUACCUUUGUUAUAA